rnacentral:rRNA from 1 species
CGUGAGGGAAAGGCGAAAAGAACCCCGGCGAGGGGAGUGAAAAAGAACCUGAAACCGUGUACGUACAAGCAGUGGGAGCCUCUUAAUGGGGUGACUGCGUACCUUUUGUAUAAUGGGUCAGCGACUUAUAUUCUGUAGCAAGGUUAACCGAAUAGGGGAGCCGAAGGGAAACCGAGUCUUAACUGGGCGUUAAGUUGCAGGGUAUAGACCCGAAACCCGGUGAUCUAGCCAUGGGCAGGUUGAAGGUUGGGUAACACUAACUGGAGGACCGAACCGACUAAUGUUGAAAAAUUAGCGGAUGACUUGUGGCUGGGGGUGAAAGGCCAAUCAAACCGGGAGAUAGCUGGUUCUCCCCGAAAGCUAUUUAGGUAGCGCCUCGUGAAUUCAUCUCCGGGGGUAGAGCACUGUUUCGGCAAGGGGGUCAUCCCGACUUACCAACCCGAUGCAAACUGCGAAUACCGGAGAAUGUUAUCACGGGAGACACACGGCGGGUGCUAACGUCCGUCGUGAAGAGGGAAACAACCCAGACCGCCAGCUAAGGUCCCAAAGUCAUGGUUAAGUGGGAAACGAUGUGGGAAGGCCCAGACAGCCAGGAUGUUGGCUUAGAAGCAGCCAUCAUUUAAAGAAAGCGUAAUAGCUCACUGGUCGAGUCGGCCUGCGCGGAAGAUGUAACGGGGCUAAACCAUGCACCGAAGCUGCGGCAGCGACACUAUGUGUUGUUGGGUAGGGGAGCGUUCUGUAAGCCUGUGAAGGUGUACUGUGAGGUAUGCUGGAGGUAUCAGAAGUGCGAAUGCUGACAUAAGUAACGAUAAAGCGGGUGAAAAGCCCGCUCGCCGGAAGACCAAGGGUUCCUGUCCAACGUUAAUCGGGGCAGGGUGAGUCGACCCCUAAGGCGAGGCCGAAAGGCGUAGUCGAUGGGAAACAGGUUAAUAUUCCUGUACUUGGUGUUACUGCGAAGGGGGGACGGAGAAGGCUAUGUUGGCCGGGCGACGGUUGUCCCGGUUUAAGCGUGUAGGCUGGUUUUCCAGGCAAAUCCGGAAAAUCAAGGCUGAGGCGUGAUGACGAGGCACUACGGUGCUGAAGCGACAAAUGCCCUGCUUCCAGGAAAAGCCUCUAAGCAUCAGGUAACAUUAAAUCGUACCCCAAACCGACACAGGUGGUCAGGUAGAGAAUACCAAGGCGCUUGAGAGAACUCGGGUGAAGGAACUAGGCAAAAUGGUGCCGUAACUUCGGGAGAAGGCACGCUGAUAUGUAGGUGAAGCGACUUGCUCGUGGAGCUGAAAUCAGUCGAAGAUACCAGCUGGCUGCAACUGUUUAUUAAAAACACAGCACUGUGCAAACACGAAAGUGGACGUAUACGGUGUGACGCCUGCCCGGUGCCGGAAGGUUAAUUGAUGGGGUUAGCGG